rnacentral:rRNA from 1 species
CCUACGGGUGGCAGCAGUGAGGGAUAUUGGUCAAUGGGGGAAACCCUGAACCAGCAACGCCGCGUGAGGGAAGAAGGUUUUCGGAUUGUAAACCUCUGUCCUCUGUGAAGAAAAUGACGGUAGCAGAGGAGGAAGCUCCGGCUAACGACGUGCCAGCAGCCGCGGUCAUACGUAGGGAGCGAGCGUUAUCCGGAUGUACUGGGUGUAAAGGGUGCGUAGGCGGCCCUGCAAGUCAGACGUGAAAUCCAUGGGCUUAACCCGUGAACUGCUUUUGAAACUGCAGGACGUGAGUGGAGUAGAGGUAAGCGGAAUUCCCGGUGUAGCGGUGAAAUGCGUAGAGAUCGGGAGGAACACCAGUGGCGAAGGCGGCCUACUGGGCUUUAACUGACGCUGAGGCACGAAAGCGUGGGUAGCAAACAGGAUUAGAUACCCGGGUAGUC